rnacentral:lncRNA from 1 species
CAGACAAUGGCAUUCAUGGAUCCCUUCCUCAAUCCUUGGUACUGGAGAAACAAUUAGCCCUCACCAGGCACAACCUAUUCAUACUGUGCAUUUCCCUCUUGAAGUGAGCGACCCAAGAAUAGGCCCUUGCCUGAUGUCUUUGUGGAGGCCAUCUCACUUCUGGAACAAAGCUUGGCACCUACUAUUUGCAGAACAAGCUGAGGUCAUGGGAUGGAUAGAAGGAACAGUCUGGGAAAUAGUUUCCCCAGUGGCAGAGGCCCUGCUCCAUUAACACCAUGUUCUCUAGGGUUUCCAGGCUUCCAGGAAUUGGGAGCAGGAAGAGGAGACAGGAUGCCCAGUGUACUCCUCUCCACUCUGAAGAGCCCUUACUAUGCAUGGUGCCACCAUUUUACCCUUGGAGGAACUAAAACAGAGAGGCCAUACUGUCUGGGUGAGGCUCCACACCCUGCCACAGGGUCAGAGAAGCUCACUCUAAAUUCACUCUGAUUCAGAGACAGCUGAGCCAAUUCUUCAGGAGAGAAAGAAAAAAAAAUCUAUCCCUCUGGAACCAAAGGGAACCUCCUGGGUCCAUAGCAGGUGUUGGGAUCUAUAAGCCUGGGCUGGCUUAUGAUAGAGGCUGGAGACCAUCUCUCUUCUGUUUCUUUCCUAAUGUUACCUUUGCUACAAAGAUGAGUGACCUGGACUCUCAGAGAGAAAGAUCUAGAUUCAGCCUCACCACCUUGGAUGACUCAAGUCUCUGAGCCUCAACUUACUCUUCUUAGCUAAUCACCGAACUGAACUGGAAUCCAGAUGCAGACGAGUGAAGAGCAAAGGGGUCCAGACGAGGCUGGUGAAACCCACAGAAACAGCUGACCUGAACAUCAGGGAACUCUUGCUCCCCAGACUGAUAGCUGGGAUACCAGCAUGGGACUGAUCCAGACUCCAGGAACAUGGGUUCCAGUGAGGAAACCUCUGAAAUCUACGGGACCUCCUGUAAUACUUCAGUACUUAUCCCUAGCAUAGGUGUGGACUUUGGGAACCCAUUCCACACCCUGAGCCAAGACAUUCGGGGGUGGGCCUAGGCCCUAUCCUAAAGGAUAUGAUAGACUCUGAUGACACCCUAUGGAAGGCCUCACUAUCCAUGGGGGAGCAGAAAGGAUAUGUGAUAUGUAGGGUUUUGGUUGGGGGGAAUGGUAGGGGAGGACGGGAGGGAGAAGGGAACUGGG